AAAGGGAAAAAAGAAGAGUUCGAAAGAGUAAUCCCGGUGAAAGAACACAAACAAUUAUUGUAUCUUUAAUAACAAGUUACUGGAUCAAGACAACUUGUAUCAUUCUGAAAUAUUGAUCAUAUUGUACAGAAGAGGACAGACAAAAGUCUCUACAGCAAGAUAUAUGUAUCAAAGAAUCGAUGGCACUAUGCAGCAACAGAGCAAGACAAGAAAAGUACACUGAAAUUUAGCUGGAACAUCUUGAAGAAUUGACUUUUAAAAUAAUAGGCCGUGUAAAGCAUUUUAACUUUUAGUUAUCGCCACAAGUGUGUUUGGUACACGAAUGCUGAUGAUACAGUGGUACACAUACCACUAAUAAAUGAGUUCUUGUGUGGCAAGGACAGAAAGACAUUUAAUAGCAGAAAUACAAGGCAGGAAAUAUAAUUUUAUUGGGAUCUGGUUAGAAAGAAAAAAAUGGAACAUUUAAAUUUGAAGGGAAAAAUUGAAGGAAGGAAAGCAAGAGGAAGACCAAGUGCUAUGAUUAUAGAUAACAUUGCAAGGGAACUCAAACUUGCUGUUGAGGAUGUUUUAAGAGUUGCUGAAGAUUGAAUUAUUUGGAGAGCAUGGCACAUAAAGAUGAGGAUUACAAAAACAUGAACCAUGUAACCAUGACUGCGGGUAAUUGCUAAAUAAAAAAUAAAUUUUCUCAAUAUUUAUGGUUAUAAUUUUGAGGUAGUAGCUUAUACUAAUACUCUACUUAAUUUCCAUUUCUUUUUGUGGUUCCUAUCCUGUAAAGCAAUAGGAACCUUCGAAAUGGCCUGGAUGUUUGUCUGACGUUG